GCUCACUCUUCACUCUCGUUGACACCCUCACGUGCAGGGAAGGAGAGAAGUACAAAGCUCUGGUUUUCAGACUGAAGUCAGAAUUCGGAGGCACUGGCUUCAUACCUUAGACCUUGCUUCUUUUAUGCUGAAUGAGGGAGCUUCCUUGUUAGGUAGGUUUCAUUAACUAGUUCGUAGGAAGGCUCAGUUCCCCAAGGAUCGGCCAGGGGCUGUCUGAAGAGGCCUCUCAACCUCUCUCCUCCUCAUUUCUUCUUCAUGUUAGUUCCCUCCAUCACCUUCCUCCAGACCUUACAAAUCCCACUUUCUAGGAAGGCCUCAAGAUAGGGGCUGCUUCUGGGCUUAAAGUGAAUAUGAAGUUCACAGGAGCAGAAGGAGCGGCACUUUUUUCUUGACUGGUCAUAUGCACUGAAGGGAAACCGAGGCACUGGAAUAAACCAUACUUACUCCUGGUCAACCUGUCACAAGAUGGACUCAGCACUGGAAGGCGAGUAACUCAUUCUGGUUCUUGUAUCCUGUAGCCCAACCUCCAAGGAGAUCGUCCCCUGCAGGGGGCAAAAUCGGCCCAGGAGUAGCUCCGUCUAAUCCGGAGGAGUCUCACUUUAGGCCUUUCUUUCCACUUUAUUUAUUUAUGACUCUGGGAGACCAGUCUCGGUUUCCAAGUGGCGGCAGACUUCAAGGAGGUGGGAACGCCCAGCAUGUAGAUAGCCUCUUCUCUGCGGUGGAUACAGGUUCAGUGCGGUUGGUUCAGCGGUAUCGGCCCCGCAGCUUGCUGUUUCUUCAAGUGUGGGUCAGGUAGCCUCCUGGGGCACAAAUCCUGCAAAACGAGUCUGAGAGCGGGGCGAGCUCUUGCAGGUCCUGUUCAAGGCUUAUGGAGGAAGAGGCUGAUUGACCUGGUCUGGAUUUGGGGUCCAUCACUUAUAAGCUCUGUGAUGUGACCUUGGAGGAUUUAUACAACCUCGUAAGUUUCAGAUUCUCAUCUAUAGAAGACAGAUUUGACGUGGGCUUUGUUGAGGGCUAGAGAGCAAAUGAGAAAAUAUGGUAGUAUUCAUGCAAGA
rnacentral:lncRNA from 1 species